GCACCACCACCAUAGGGCAGCCAACACCUUAGGUGACUGGGUGAUUCAGGCCCCACAUAGAGGCGGACUGGCAGGAAAGCACCCCGUGGCUUCCCUGUGACUCAGGGGAAACGCGGAGCUCCCAGAACAACAGCUCAGGGUCCGCUAUAACCAACUCAUUUCCCUCACACCUACCAGGUUUCCCGUUGCACUGCAGGCCCCACUAUCUUUGAUGGGUGCCCUGAGCUCAUCAUACAGCCUCCCCGGCCUACUCCACCCCUCCUACCUGGGCUUGGCAACCCCUCUUCCCUCGGCCUUCAACCCCAUAGCCCUCCCUGCCCUGCCAGGUCCCCUCAUUUACCCUUUGGCUCUGCCCAUCCUCACUAUCCACCCCCAUCCCGGUGGAGCCAGCCAGAUGAUUGCAAAAGGGCUGAGGCAGCGGGAGAGGCCCUCACAUGACAGCUGUUCCUGCUGGCGGAGGGGAGGGGGCAGCUGGAAGUAGAGGGAAGCACAUUCCAUGGGAGAUCCGAUCAGAAAUAGCCCCAGACCCUGACCGUCCAGCCCCAGUUCCGCACACGGCCAGCGCAUUGUGUCAACAAGGCGUUCCCAUGCACACUUGGCUCCGACAAGAUUUCAUCUGUAGCAGCAAGGACAUCGGGGACGGAGCUGAAGAGUAUCGUGCCCAGCGGAGGAAAACAAAGACACACAGCGUAUGAUUUCACUCAAUGUGCCAUUUAUGAAACAAAACUAACGAGCAAACAGAAAAGAGACAAACCAAGAAGCCAGCUUAACUACAGAGAACAAUCAGAUGGGUACCAGAGGAGAGGAGAGAGUGGGUGAAACUGGGUUUGGGGGCUAAGCAUCGCCCUGGUCUGAUGAGCACCCAGGGAUGACGUAUUCGAGCAGUGAACCACUGUACGCCUGGGACGAAUGAGACACCGUCUGUUAGCGACACUGGCACUCAAGUAAAAGAUUUCAUCUGCAGUCAAAUGCACCUCCGAGCCCCCCCUGCCCCGACGACCCCUCUCUAGUUUCUCCACCUCCCUUUCCCGUCGCUCAAAGAUUUUUGCCUAGUAGGUGGAUAAAACAGCGUCCUCAGUCCAUCUUACCCUAGUUCUCCAAGACCUGCUCUCGGCCCGGACCCACUCACAACACCCCCUUCCCCUUCCAGCCCACGAGCUCAGCAUGCCUGCGGCACGGUGGGCGCCGGGAUGUCAGCUGUAGGGGCUGCGCGGGUGGCGCAAGCAUGCCUGGUGUGGCAGGAAAAGGGACCCCGGCAACCAGAGCCAUCCCCCCUGGCGCAGGCGCUCACAGGCCGCCAGGGUGAGCCGGGCGGGGCCAGGCUCCAGCAAGCAUGGCCAGGAUCGGAGGGCCAGAGUCCCAAGCCCGGGGCUGUGCAGUGACUCAGGCCUCCCCGGGGCAGGGCGGGGACCGACCUACUCCAGAUGGGCCUCCCCUUUCCCUGCCCCACAUCUGCCGCUUGAAACUCCAGCUGUUAACCUCUUUCCUGCCCACCCCAGCAGCGGCGGGGAAGAGGCCCUUCAGUUCCAUCCUGCUUUGGAGGCCAACAGAGAGAGCACCAGUCGGAGGCCCCGACACCCUCCCUUCGGGCUGCCCACCCCGCCUCCGCUUGUGGGUACUGGCCCUCCCCCAAGCUCAGGCCAGGCCUCAUCCAACAACCUGGCCGCCCUUCUCUGCACCAAACCGCCAGAGUUUGGGGCACAGGAGGCAGGACGUGAGGAUGAGUCACGCUUCCUGCAGUAGGAGAGAGGCUGGGUCCGCCAGACCCGCCCAGUCCACGCGGGUGCCAGGUCUGCUGCUGCCCCAGCUCUAGCCCAUCCCGCAGAACCCUUUUCCACAAUGAGGCCUCACUCCUGGGCCGCUUCUAAUUAUUCAGCUCCGGGGAAGAUCUAGGAUACCGGGAAGCUGACAAGUGAGGGAGCAGGGAGGUGCGGUGCGAAGGGAGCCAGACAGGUUCUGCAGGGCCCCAGCACCCAGCGCAGGGCCCGCCCAGCCAGCAGCUUAGCACUUUCAGAUCCUAACACGGAGCAGCCCGAGAAUGCACGGAAGACAGGUGGCAAGUUUGGAUCUGGCUCAAGAUGACCCACCAGCGAGCAAACUGAGCAAGAACCAACCCAUCCUCACCCAGCUGGAUUCCAAACCACAGCUCUGCUCUCAGCCCAUUCUUUCCAGGACCCUCACCCGAAGUCCAGGUACCCAGCUGGAUUAUAGCCCUACCCCUUCCCAAGCUACCAGACCCUGUCUGUACCUGGAAAGAUCCCCUUCUCCCUCUCCCAACCGAAGCCUUCUUUGUGCUUCAACUAAGAAAGUGGGAGGGGAAAAACAACAACAACAAAGUACAUAAAACAAUAAACUAGAGACCAAAGGU